rnacentral:rRNA from 1 species
GGGAUUGCCUUAGUAGCGGCGAGUGAACAGGCAAGAGCUCAGAUUUGAAAGCCCUCGGGCAUUGUAUUCUGAAGCCUUGGUCCUGAGAAUCGGUGUUUAAGUCUUCUGGAAAGGAGCGCCAUGGAGGGUGAUAGCCCCGUACGACACCACUCUCAUUGUAGGACUUUGGCAUGGAGUCGAGUUGUUUGGGAAUGCAGCUCAAAUGGGUGGUAUGCUCCAUCUAAAGCUAAAUAUCUGCGAGAGACCGAUAGCGAACAAGUACUGUGAAGGAAAGAUGAAAAGAACUUUGAAAAGAGAGUGAAAAAGUACGUGAAAUUGUUGAAAUGGAAGGAUAGGCCGCUAACCAUGUAGGGUCGUGUUCGAGGGGAAGAUAAAAGCUGAAGAAUGUAGCUCCUCGGAGUGUUAUAGCUUCAGUCCAUAUUCCCUCUCGAGCGCGAGGAUUGAAGACUCUGCUAAAUGGUGGUCUAUCACCCGUCUUGAAACACCGGACCA